rnacentral:misc_RNA from 1 species
AAGUCGUAACAAGGUUUCCGUAGGUGAACCUGCGGAAGGAUCAUUAUUGAUGAUACCCAUCACAAACCACUGUGAACCAUCGGGAGGGCAACCUCCCCUUCAUACACACACCAAAGUAAUAGUAUAUUGUCAAAUGUAAAAAUUUUGAACAACUUUCAACAACGGAUCUCUUGGCUCUC